AGAAAGCUAACAUCAUUGACCUGUUGAUCUUUCGCAGGUUGCCUUCCUUGGCCUUUUGGCCAUUGCUGCCGCCCAGGUCCAGCUCCAGGAGAAUUACCCUGCCCAGCCAUACACCUUCAGCUACGACUCUACUGGUGAGGACGGUGGCCGCAUCAGCCAGCAGGAGACCGGUGACGAGAGGAACUUCAAGACGGCAGCUACAGCUACCAGACCCCAGACGGUGGUCUACCGUACCGCCAACUACGUCGCUGACGACCAGGGCUUCCGCGUGUCUAUCGACACCAACGAGCCAGGCACCAAGGCUGAGAACCCAGCUGAUGUGACCCUCAACGCCAACCCCAAUUGAGGUCCCAGCCACCGCCUACACCUUCGGCAAGUCCAAGAGCUAAAUCACUCGCCUCGUUUCGAUAGCGAGAUAGAGCUGUGUAAAUUAAAACGAGAUUAUUUCCGCCACUGCCGCAACUUCAUCGCUUCCGAUCUGUCUACUCGGUGCUCUUCACACUGAUGACUGCGACUGCAUUAUUUCUAUUCCCUUUUUCCUCUGUUCUCGCGUUUGGACGGUGUAUCACUGCACACAAGACGUGACCUCCUGUUGUGAACCUUCUAACUUCGACUCCGAGCUCCUUCACUCUUCCACUGACUUUUACAGUGCAAACUAUUGUCCUGUCCACUAAACUGGAAACAAAAGAAAAAUAAAGUUGUUAUUUUUUGUUGUUUAGAAA